AAAAUAUCAUCACUAACUAUACCUAAUGCAGUUGGCUAAUGACUUGACCGUUGAUACCCGAGGAUUUAAGUUUGAAGCCUAAUUAUCUUACAUUUUUAGCUGAACUCAUUUCUAGAAAGUGACCAAAACGGAUAGCUUACUUCCUUUCACUCUCACAAAAUAAAAAAAAUCAUCAAAAUAAUACCAUAACCUCUUUACAUCAAUUGCAAUAUUUCUGAUUUACUGACCGUACCUACCACAAUUGGCUUAGGGUUUGAUAAUUGAUGGUUGGCACCCGAGAUCCUGAGUUUCGAAACUAACUGUUUUAUAUCUAACUUGUUGAUAUUUUUCGAUGUUCUAAGUUUAAAGCUUAACUGCUUUAUCUUUCUAACAAAAUUUAUUUCUAAAGAAUAAACGAUACAGAUAUAUUACAUAUUAUGCGGUUAGGAUGAUAGUAGCCUCCUAGGAUUGAGUAGGUGGUUGGUUGAAUAGUAUAAUCUAACGGGUGAAAAUGAUCAAUGAAUAGAUCAAACGGCAGAAAACUCGAUAGUACCAAAAGGUUAAUACUAUCAAUAGUAUAGUAGCCGUACCAUAUAUAUAUAUAUAUAUAUAUAUAUAUAUAGAGAGAGAGAGAGAGAGAGAGAGAGUUGAGCUAGAAUACUCUCGAUAGUAAACGGGGCAUUUUACUAUCGAGUUGUUUUCGAUGAUAGAGCUUCCAAAUUGACGAUCGGUUCCGUUGAACAUGAUCUAUACCACUUAAAGUGUUUAGAAAUCAAAUUUCAAAUCUUUUCAACAUCAUUAAAAUAAUGAUCAAAGGGUUUCAAAAUUUGUAAUUUUAAUGGUGGAUAAGAAACGUUUUCUCGUUUAACGGUGUAAAGAUAUCCAAAUCAAUUGAAUUUUUGUUAGAAAAU
rnacentral:lncRNA from 1 species